rnacentral:snRNA from 1 species
UGGUGAUGAAGGCAAUUUAGCUGUAACAUCAUUCUCCCCACUGAGUUCUAGAGCAGAAUUGGCUGAUCUAAUUGGUGGGCUGCUUUCUUCCUCCCUCACCACUCAAUGUAUAUAUGUUCUGAAGAGGAAUGCUUAGUAUAAGGGGGUGACAUCCCUUCUGUAGUCAAAGAUCUAGUUGAUUUAGGAAAG